UGACACGACCGUACCGCAAACCGACACUGGUGCGCGAGAUGAGUAUUCUAAGGCGCUUGAGAGAACUCGGGAGAAGGAACUCGGCAAAUUGACACCGUAACUUCGGAAGAAGGUGUGCCUUUAGUAGGUGAAGGGAUUUACUCCUGGAGCCCAAUGAGGUUGCAAAAAAUCGGUGGCUGCGACUGUUUAUUAAAAACACAGCACUCUGCAAACACGAAAGUGGACGUAUAGGGUGUGACGCCUGCCCGGUGCUGGAAGAUUAAAUGAUGGGGUGCAAGCUCUUGAUUGAAGUCCCAGUAAACGGCGGCCGUAACUAUAACGGUCCUAAGGUAGCGAAAUUCCUUGUCGGGUAAGUUCCGACCUGCACGAAUGGCGUAACGAUGGCCACACUGUCUCCUCCCGAGACUCAGCGAAGUUGAAAUGUUUGUGAUGAUGCAAUCUCCCCGCGGAAAGACGGAAAGACCCCAUGAACCUUUACUGUAGCUUUGUAUUGGACUUUGAACAGAUCUGUGUAGGAUAGGUGGGAGGCUUUGAAGCAGGGUCGCUAGAUCUUGUGGAGCCAACGUUGAAAUACCACCCUGGUGUGUUUGAGGUUCUAACCUAGGUCCAUUAUCUGGAUCGGGGACAGUGCAUGGUAGGCAGUUUGACUGGGGCGGUCUCCUCCCAAAGCGUAACGGAGGAGUUCGAAGGUACGCUAGGUACGGUCGGACAUCGUGCUAAUAGUGCAAUGGCAUAAGCGUGCUUAACUGCGAGACUGACAAGUCGAGCAGAUGCGAAAGCAGGACAUAGUGAUCCGGUGGUUCUGUAUGGAAGGGCCAUCGCUCAACGGAUAAAAGGUACUCUGGGGAUAACAGGCUGAUACCGCCCAAGAGUUCAUAUCGACGGCGGUGUUUGGCACCUCGAUGUCGGCUCAUCUCAUCCUGGGGCUGUAGCCGGUCCCAAGGGUAUGGCUGUUCGCCAUUUAAAGAGGUACGUGAGCUGGGUUUAAAACGUCGUGAGACAGUUUGGUCCCUAUCUUCCGUGGGCGCUGCAGAUUUGAGGAAGCCUGCUCCUAGUACGAGAGGACCGGAGUGGACGCACCUCUGGUGUAUCGGUUGUCACGCCAGUGGCAUUGCCGAGUAGCUAUGUGCGGAAGAGAUAACCGCUGAAAGCAUCUAAGCGGGAAACUCGUUUCAAGAUGAGAUCUGCCGGGGCCUUGAGCCCCCUAAAGAGUCGUUCAAGACCAGGACGUUGAUAGGUCAGGUGUGGAAGCGCAGUAAUGCGUUAAGCUAACUGAUACUAAUUGCUCGUGCGGCUUGACCAA
rnacentral:rRNA from 1 species